GGUUGCUUGACCGUUCACUUAGCGACAGCCUCGACACACUCCUUAAUAGGUAGUAGCUGGCAACCCGCACGCUAGAUGCACGUGAUCAACACGUAUCUGGAUCGUCUGGAAAGUGACCUCCAGUCUGUACCCGCAAGGCACAGCCACGUCAGCAACCCACCACUACUUAAGCGGAGCCCACCUGAGACUCCGCAGAGACUAUACGAUGUACACUGUUACUGUAUGUAACAUCUAGACCUGUGUCUCGUCAAUACAAGCUGUUCUCCCAUACUUUGAGUUCGUCCAUUUACUCAUUGUAACUACCUGUUACAUUUGGUGAACGUGCCUGCGCGAAGCUGACAUCUUCAACAUCUUUCAGCCCGAACCUUCCACCAUCUCUUCCAGACCUUGCCAUACGAUACAACAAAAUCUUCAAGAUUAUCUACAUAUCAUCACACUCAUCACUACCAUCUACGAUACACUCAAACUUUAUCACCAAAAACAGUAAAAUUUAAAAACAUACCUUGAGUAUUCAAAAUUCAACAUGUUGACAGCUGUAUUUCAAGUCCUCAAAUCAACGCUCAACCACAAAACUGAUUUUGAAGUAAUUUUCAUAUGUACUGAAAAUUCACCAAAUGAUUCAAACUGGUUAUUGAAGACCAAAUCAUUCAAUCCACCAAUAUUUUUAAAUAACAAAUCACAUUUCUAAAAAUAUUCCAUCUUCGUAGUAUAUAAAUGUAGAUUCAACACCCCAACCCUUAACUAACCUUCUAAUGCAUCCCUUUCCAUUUUUUCACACACAUUUUUAUUUUAUACUUUACUACUGUCAUUGAAUUCUCUCAUUUUUCCGACCCAAUCGACCAUCUUGUUUGAACUAACAAAGAAAACGCCACAUAUUGCGUUCUAACUUACUAUUCCGUACGUCUUCCUGUAUGGACGAAACUAAUCAAGACAGACAAUUCCACACUUCAUCAAGAAGAAACAGCAGCAAAUUAAGAAUGUUAUAACUCAGCACAACUAUUUCACAUUUUUCACCUGGAGAAUGUUUUUACCCUUCUACAACAGGCCUAUGUGUAAAUAUUAAAAUGCCGAUAAGUAUCGUUUCUCAAAGGAAAAAGUGGGAUUUUUAGGACAUAUCGUAUCCUAAGGAGGAAUCGAAGCUAUUUAAUCCGUAACCAACUACAGAAGAUAUUUACAAAUUCACCAACAAGACCCAUGGUUCCCAGCUUACAAAAAGCAAAGUACCAUGGAAACGGGGAACUGAGGAGCAGACGUGCUUCGAACGCAUCAAAGAAAUAUUGUGCUCCUCUCCUGUCCUCGCGUAUCCCGACUUCACCAAGCCUUUUAUCAUACACACGGAUGCAUGCGGAUAUGGAGUCGACGGAAUUCUUUCCCAGAUGCCUCAACCUCAGGAAAACCAGGACGUCCAUGAGGAGAAUAUUAAAUUCUCAAGAGAAAACCCAUGAGGAAUCUGUUAUUGAUUCAAGAGAACAUUCUGUUGCGUAUGCCUCUAUAAACACAUGACCAAGUAAACUAGAACUGAGUGGAACCCUACUCAGCAACUAGAUAUAUUUUGCAAGGAAAUCUACAUGGACGGCAUGGCGCAAAGAAAGGAACUUGCCGACAUUGAGCAAGACAGUAGUCCCGGUGAAACUACAUAAGAGAUACUUCUGUUUGUUGUCCAAGCAUGUACACAUAUUGCAAACUGUUAAUUUAUGCUGAACAAACGCCAUAACAAACGUGCACAGCCCUACUGCCAUCCAUACCGAUUGACACACGUUUUCUUUACGGUUGGAAAUAUUUAGCAGCAGGGGCCCCGUUUUAAAACGCCUACUUGAAAAUGGAUGUAUCUUGAUGGAUAUAGAGUAUGCGACACACUGUGUUCGCUAUUCAAAAAAAAAAUGUAUCGGCCUAAUCUUCAAAACAAAAGUUCACUGGCAAAUAACACUGAACUAAGACGGUUUGACUGACAACACGAUCAACUAUCGAGAUACACAUUUUUUCAAACUUCAGUAAUGACAGAAACGAGCUAAACCAAGCCAUUUAAGCAAUUACAUGCCACCACCCACUAUAAGACCACCGGAUUAUAAUACUUCUGAUGUAUGUGUACAACUAACCCUAUUAUCACGGGACGGAACGUGAUACAAUUAAUGGGGUGAACAACUAAAUUUCGUAGAGUCAACGUCCACAAAACUUUACAUUCCAGUACAAGAAUUUAACCUUUCUUUCUUCUCAAGGCUUUACGACCUUAGAGCAAAAAAAUGAUGAAGGCCUCUUGUGAGGAUUGUUAGUGAUUGCCAACUAAACUUGUCCUCAUAAAACCAUGGUAUGAGACAGUUUAUUAGCAAAAACAAAAAAAAAAAUACGCGAUUGCACAAGCAAAACUGAACCACUAUUACAAUCGUUUACUGAAGAAUUACUCUUCGAGUAACACGACGCCGUGCUUCUUAAAGUCUACAUGUGCAGAUCGGAAAAUGAACUUGAGGUAAACGCUCAUAGUAAUUGAAAAAUUUUCCGAUCCCAAAUUAUUGAUGUAUCAAAUCGACGAAGACUACGAAAUGUUGCAGUACACUAUGCAAUCUCCUCAACCAAAGGAACUUUAUUUAAACCGAAUCUCACUAAUAGAUGCAAAAUUAAUAAAGGAGUUGAACGAACGAUCCAUUCAAAUGAUAUAUCAGACAACUACUGAGCAUAGCUGAUACAGAAAGUGAAACUGGACUUGAAAAAACUUUCUAAAAUCCCCGAGGCUACAACAGUAAAGAAGCCUACGAAAAGGAAAUCGUCUGAUCAAAGAAUUCAAAAUACGGAUUCGUCUUUUUCAAAUAAGGGAGGAAUGGGUGUAGACCUCUCCGCCAUAACAAAUUCACAUACUAACUUCGGGAGGAAUGUAACGGUUGCUUGACCGUUCACUUAGCGACAGCCUCGACACACUCCUUAAUAGGUAGUAGCUGGCAACCCGCACGCUAGAUGCACGUGAUCAACACGUAUCUGGAUCGUCUGGAAAGUGACCUCCAGUCUGUACCCGCAAGGCACAGCCACGUCAGCAACCCACCACUACUUAAGCGGAGCCCACCUGAGACUCCGCAGAGACUAUACGAUGUACACUGUUACUGUAUGUAACAUCUAGACCUGUGUCUCGUCAAUACAAGCUGUUCUCCCAUA